rnacentral:rRNA from 1 species
CCUACGGGGGGCUGCAGUGGGGAAUAUUGGACAAUGGGGGCAACCCUGAUCCAGCCAUGCCGCGUGUGUGAAGAAGGCCCUCGGGUUGUAAAGCACUUUCAGUGAGGAAGAACGCCUGGUGGUUAAUACCCAUCAGGAAAGACAUCACUCACAGAAGAAGCACCGGCUAACUCCGUGCCAGCAGCCGCGGUAAUACGGAGGGUGCGGGCGUUAAUCGGAAUUACUGGGCGUAAAGCGCGCGUAGGUGGCUUGAUAAGCCGGUUGUGAAAGCCCCGGGCUCAACCUGGGAACGGCAUCCGGAACUGUCAAGCUAGAGUGCAGGAGAGGAAGGUAGAAUUCCCGGUGUAGCGGUGAAAUGCGUAGAGCUCGGGAGGAAUACCAGUGGCGAAGGCGGCCUUCUGGACUGACACUGACACUGAGGUGCGAAAGCGUGGGUAGCAAACAGGAUUAGAUACCCUAGUAGUC